rnacentral:rRNA from 1 species
UUCCGUUAAUUGAUUAUGACGUGCUUGCACUGAAUGAGAUUUUAACACGAAGUGAGUGGCGGACGGGUGAGUAACACGUGGGUAACCUGCCCAGAAGCAGGGGAUAACACCUGGAAACAGAUGCUAAUACCGUAUAACAGAGAAAACCGCCUGGUUUUCUUUUAAAAGAUGGCUCUGCUAUCACUUCUGGAUGGACCCGCGGCGCAUUAGCUAGUUGGUGAGGUAACGGCUCACCAAGGCGAUGAUGCGUAGCCGACCUGAGAGGGUAAUCGGCCACAUUGGGACUGAGACACGGCCCAGACUCCUACGGGAGGCAGCAGUAGGGAAUCUUCCACAAUGGACGCAAGUCUGAUGGAGCAACGCCGCGUGAGUGAAGAAGGGUUUCGGCUCGUAAAGCUCUGUUGUUAAAGAAGAACGUGGGUGAGAGUAACUGUUCACCCAGUGACGGUAUUUAACCAGAAAGCCACGGCUAACUACGUGCCAGCAGCCGCGGUAAUACGUAGGUGGCAAGCGUUAUCCGGAUUUAUUGGGCGUAAAGCGAGCGCAGGCGGUCUUUUAAGUCUAAUGUGAAAGCCUUCGGCUCAACCGAAGAAGUGCAUUGGAAACUGGGAGACUUGAGUGCAGAAGAGGACAGUGGAACUCCAUGUGUAGCGGUGAAAUGCGUAGAUAUAUGGAAGAACACCAGUGGCGAAGGCGGCUGUCUGGUCUGUAACUGACGCUGAGGCUCGAAAGCAUGGGUAGCGAACAGGAUUAGAUACCCUGGUAGUCCAUGCCGUAAACGAUGAUUACUAAGUGUUGGAGGGUUUCCGCCCUUCAGUGCUGCAGCUAACGCAUUAAGUAAUCCGCCUGGGGAGUACGACCGCAAGGUUGAAACUCAAAAGAAUUGACGGGGGCCCGCACAAGCGGUGGAGCAUGUGGUUUAAUUCGAAGCUACGCGAAGAACCUUACCAGGUCUUGACAUCUUCUGCCAACCUAAGAGAUUAGGCGUUCCCUUCGGGGACAGAAUGACAGGUGGUGCAUGGUUGUCGUCAGCUCGUGUCGUGAGAUGUUGGGUUAAGUCCCGCAACGAGCGCAACCCUUAUUACUAGUUGCCAGCAUUCAGUUGGGCACUCUAGUGAGACUGCCGGUGACAAACCGGAGGAAGGUGGGGACGACGUCAAAUCAUCAUGCCCCUUAUGACCUGGGCUACACACGUGCUACAAUGGAUGGUACAACGAGUUGCGAAACCGCGAGGUUUAGCUAAUCUCUUAAAACCAUUCUCAGUUCGGACUGUAGGCUGCAACUCGCCUACACGAAGUCGGAAUCGCUAGUAAUCGCGGAUCAGCAUGCCGCGGUGAAUACGUUCCCGGGCCUUGUACACACCGCCCGUCACACCAUGAGAGUUUGUAACACCCAAAGCCGGU